rnacentral:rRNA from 1 species
GACGAACGCUGGCGGCAGGCCUAACACAUGCAAGUCGAACGGACCUUUCGGGGUUAGUGGCGGACGGGUGAGUAACACGUGGGAACGUGCCUUUAGGUUCGGAAUAGCUCCUGGAAACGGGUGGUAAUGCCGAAUGUGCCCUUAGGGGGAAAGAUUUAUCGCCUUUAGAGCGGCCCGCGUCUGAUUAGCUAGUUGGUGAGGUAAUGGCUCACCAAGGCUACGAUCAGUAGCUGGUCUGAGAGGAUGACCAGCCACAUUGGGACUGAGACACGGCCCAAACUCCUGCGGGAGGCAGCAGUGGGGAAUCUUGCGCAAUGGGCGAAAGCCUGACGCAGCCAUGCCGCGUGGAUGAUGAAGGUCUUAGGAUUGUAAAAUCCUUUCACCGGUGAAGAUAAUGACUGUAGCCGGAGAAGAAGCCCCGGCUAACUUCGUGCCAGCAGCCGCAGUAA